rnacentral:rRNA from 1 species
CUCCGGUUGAUCCCGCGGGACCUGACUGCUAUCGGAUUGGUACUAAGCCAUGCGAGUCAUUGUAGCAAUACAAGGCGGACGGCUCAGUAACACGUAGUCAACCUAACUCGUGGACGUGGAUAACCUCGGGAAACUGAGAAUAAACCACGAUAGAUCAUAGUGCCUGGAAUGGCUUAUGGUCCAAACAGUUUACUGCCAUGGGAUGGGACUGCGGCCUAUCAGCUUGUUGGUGAGGUAAUGGCCCACCAAGGCGAUUACAGGUACGGGCUCUGAGAGGAGAAGCCCGGAGAUGGGUACUGAGACACGGACCCAGGCCCUAUGGGGCGCAGCAGGCGAGAAACCUUAGCAAUGUGCGAAAGCACGACUGGGUCAGUCCGAGUGAUUCCUGAUAAAGGAGUCUUUUGCUUGUCCUAAAAGCACAGGUGAAUAAGGGGUGGGCAAGUCUGGUGUCAGCCGCCGCGGUAAUACCAGCACCUCGAGUGGUCAGGACGUUUAUUGGGCCUAAAGCAUCCGUAGCCGGCUCUGCAAGUCUUCGGUUAAAUCCACCUGCUCAACAAAUGGGCUGCUGGAGAUACUACAGAGCUAGGGAGUGGGAGAGGCAGACGGUAUUCAGUGGGUAGGGGUAAAAUCCUCUGAUCCAUUGAGGACCACCAGUGGCGAAGGCGGUCUGCCAGAACACGUUCGACGGUGAGGGAUGAAAGCUGGGGGAGCAAACCGGAUUAGAUACCCGGGUAGUCCCAGCUGUAAACGAUGCAAACUCGGUGAUGCAUUGGCUUAUGGCCAAUGCAGUGCCGCAGGGAAGCCGUUAAGUUUGCCGCCUGGGAAGUACGGACGCAAGUCUGAAACUUAAAGGAUUGGCGGGGGAGCA